rnacentral:lncRNA from 1 species
AUUCAUUCUGCCCAAUUUGUUUUCUCUUUGCGACACUCUUUCCUUCUCCGUCAUUCAUCAUAACGGAACGCUGAAAAAACCUCACAACACGUUCGUGUAACUCGCUCACUCGACUCGUUCUCUUCGGUUUCGAUUUUUUCAUCAUGCCGAAUGAUAAAGUUGAUUCCAAACCCGCCGAUAUCAGGUAAAUCGUUUCUAUCCGUUCUUUCUUCUUUUUUGCGAUUUUCUGAUUUUGAUUUUUAGGUUUUAGAUGAACAAUUUUCAUCAACAAAUUGUAAUGAAUCGUUCCAUCUGGUUUUUAUUUCGUUCAAUUUGAUAUAUGAUUUCUUUUUUUUUUUUUCUUCUUUUUUGUCGGAUGAUAUAUGAUUUGAAUCUUGAAUUAAUUUGAUGUCCAUAUAUGAUAUAUCUGCUUAUCAUUUUGUUGUUUCACUUUCUUUUUUGUUGUUUUCUCUGAUGUNNNGAAAGCAAAACAUACACUGAGCAACUCUUUCUUUUUCUCCUAAAGGACAUUGCGUAAUUUCAAUUUGAUCGAUUAGCUCUUUCUUUACUCAUGGAAGAUAUCGGUGUUGCCAAAUAGCGGCUAUAGCACUGUAGCGUAUUCUUGAAAUUAAUGAGUUUUUUUGGAAUUUUAUUAUUUCAGGGCACCCCGAUGAGCUUGUGUGAACCUAGGAAUUUUCAUUUGCAUGCAAUUUUAGGGAUUCACUGGAGUCUAGGAGUGAAUAUAUCAAAGG